UCCCUACGGGGCGCAGCAGGCGCGAAAACUUUACAAUGCGGGAAACCGUGAUAAGGGAACUCCGAGUGUCCGUAAAUGCGGACUGUCCGUAUGUUUAAAAAGCAGGCGAAGAAAGGGCCGGGCAAGACCGGUGCCAGCCGCCGCGGUAAUACCGGCGGCUCGAGUGGUGGCCACUAUUACUGGGCUUAAAGCGUUCGUAGCUGGGUCGUUAAGUCUCUUGGGAAAUCUACCGGCUUAACCGAUAGGCGUCCAAGGGAUACUGGCG
rnacentral:rRNA from 1 species